rnacentral:rRNA from 1 species
GUAACUGCGAGUGAAGCGGGAAAAGCUCAAAUUUGAAAUCUGGUAGUCUUUGGCUGCCCGAGUUGUAAUCUAGAGAAGCGUUAUCCGCGCUGGACCGUGUAUAAGUCUCCUGGAAUGGAGCGUCAUAGAGGGUGAGAAUCCCGUCUUUGACACGGACUCCCAGGGCUUUGUGAUGCGCUCUCAAAGAGUCGAGUUGUUUGGGAAUGCAGCUCUAAAUGGGUGGUAAAUUCCAUCUAAAGCUAAAUAUUGGCGAGAGACCGAUAGCGAACAAGUACCGUGAGGGAAAGAUGAAAAGAACUUUGGAAAGAGAGUUAAACAGUACGUGAAAUUGUUGAAAGGGAAACGCUUGAAGUCAGUCGCGUUGGCCAGGGAUCAACCUUGCUUUUGCUUGGUGUACUUUCUGGUUAAUGGGUCAGCAUUAAUUUUGACCAGUGGAAAAAGGUUAGGGGAAUGUGGCAUCUUCGGAUGUGUUAUAGCCUCUGAUUGUAUACAUUGGUUGGGAUUGAGGAACUCAGCACGCCGCAAGGCCGGGUUUUACCACGU